GUUCCGAUUAUGGCUCAGAUUGAACGCUGGCGGGAUGCUUUACCGCGCUACAAGUCGAACGGCAGCACGGACUUCGGUCUGGUGGCGGUGGCGAACGGGUGAGUAAUGUAUCGGAACGUGCCCUAGUAGCGGGGGAUAACUACGCAAAAGGCGUCGCUAAUACCGCAUACGCCCUUCGGGGAAAGCGGGGGACCUUCGGGCCUCGCGCCAGGAAACGGCCGAUAUCGGAUUAGCUAGUUGGUGGAGUUAACGGCUCGCAAGGCGACGAUCCGUAGCUGGUUGAGAGGACGACCAGCCACACUGGGACUGAGACGGCAGACUCCUACACGGAGGCAGCAGUGGGGAAUUUUGGACAAUGGGGAAACCCUGAUCCAGCCAUCCCGCGUGUGCGAUGAAGGCCUUCGGGUUGUAAAGCGCUUUUGGCAGGAAAGAAACGGCACGGGAUAUUACCCCCGUGCAACUGACCAGUACCUGCAGAAUAAGCACCGGCUAACUACGUGCCAGCAGCCCGCGACAGCCAUAGGUGCCGAAAGCGUUAAUCGGAAUUACUGGGCGUAAAGCGUGCGCAGGCGGUUCCGGAAGAAAGACGUGAAAUCCCAGAGCUUAGCACGGUUUGUUUUUAACUUCUGAAGGCCAAAUUGUGUCAGAGGGAGGUGGAAUUCCGCGCAUGUAGCAGUGAAAUGCGUAGAUAUGCGGAGGAACACCGAUGGCGAAGGCAGCCUCCUGGGAUAACACUGACGCUCAUGCACGAAAGCGUGGGAGCAAACAGGAUUAGAUACCCUGGUAGUCCACGCCUAAACGAUGUCAACUAGCUGUUGGGGCCUUCGGGCCUUGAAGUAGCGCAACGUGAAGUUGACCGCCUGGGAAGUGCAAUUAUGAAUUAAAACUCAAAGGAAUUGACGGGGACCCGCACAAGCGGUGGAUGAUGUGGAUUAAUUCGAUGCAACGCGAAAAACCUUACCUACCCUUGACAUGUCUGGAAUCCCGAAGAGAUUUGGGAGUGCUCGCAAGAGAACCGGAACACAUGUGCUGCAUGGCUGUCGUCAGCUCGUGUCGUGAGAUGUUGGGUUAAGUCCCGCAACGAGCGCAACCCUUGUCAUUAGUUGCUACGAGGGUACUCUAAUGAGACUGCCGGUGACAAACCGGAGGAAGGUGGGGAUGACGAUCAAGUCCUCUUGGCCCUUAUGGGUAGGGCUUCGUCAUAUAAUGAACGGGGGUCGCCAACCCGCGAGGGGAGCCAAUCCCAGAAACCCGAUCGUAGUCCGGAUGCGGAGUCUCUUGCAACUCGGCUGCGUGAAGUGGGAUAUUCAGCAGUAAUCGCGGAUUGGCAUAUUGCGGUGAAUACGUUCCCGGGUCUUGUACGCCCGUCACACCAUGGGAGUGGGUUUUACCAGAAGUAGUUAGCCUAACCGUAAGGAGGGCGAUUUUCACAGUAGGAUUCAUGACUGGGGUGAAGUCGUAACAAGGUAG
rnacentral:rRNA from 1 species